AGGCGGACGCGUGAGCGCGAGCGGACCCCAAAAACGGCCCCCAGUUCGGACUGCAGCCUGCAACCCGGCUGCACGAAGCCGGAAUCGCUAGUAAUCGCGGAUCAGAACGCCGCGGUGAAUACGUUCCCGGGUCUUGUACACACCGCCCGUCACACCAUGGGAGCCUGGAAUGCCCGAAGCCGGUGGCCGAACCGAGAGGGCGGAGCCGCCUAAGGCAGGCCCGGUGACUGGGGUGAAGUCGUAACAAGGUAAC
rnacentral:rRNA from 1 species